rnacentral:rRNA from 1 species
AACGAACGCUGGCGGCAGGCCUAACACAUGCAAGUCGAGCGAGGACUUCGGUCCUAGCGGCGGACGGGUGAGUAACGCGUGGGAACGUGCCCUUUGCUUCGGAAUAGCCCUGGGAAACUGGGAGUAAUACCGGAUGAGCCCUUUGGGGGAAAGAUUUAUCGGCGAAGGAUCGGCCCGCGUUGGAUUAGGUAGUUGGUGGGGUAAUGGCCUACCAAGACGACGAUCCAUAGCUGGUCUGAGAGGAUGAUCAGCCACACUGGGACUGAGACACGGCCCAGACUCCUACGGGAGGGAGCAGUGGGGAAUCUUAGAGAAUGGGGGAAAACCUGAUCUAGCCAUGCCGCGUGAGCGAUGAAGGCCUUAGGGUUGUAAAGCUCUUUCAGCUGGGAAGAUAAUGACGGUACCCGCAGAAGAAGCCCCGGCUAACUCCGUG